UGGGGAAUAUUGCACAAUGGGCGCAAGCCUGAUGCAGCCAUGCCGCGUGUGUGAAGAAGGCCUUCGGGUUGUAAAGCACUUUCAGCGAGGAGGAAGGGUAGUGUGUUAAUAGCACAUUGCAUUGACGUUACUCGCAGAAGAAGCACCGGCUAACUCCGUGCCAGCAGCCGCGGUAAUACGGAGGGUGCAAGAGUUAAUCGGAAUUACUGGGCGUAAAGCGCACGCAGGCGGUUUGUUAAGUCAGAUGUGAAAUCCCCGCGCUUAACGUGGGAACUGCAUUUGAAACUGGCAAGCUAGAGUCUUGUAGAGGGGGGUAGAAUUCCAGGUGUAGCGGUGAAAUGCGUAGAGAUCUGGAGGAAUACCGGUGGCGAAGGCGGCCCCCUGGACAAAGACUGACGCUCAGGUGCGAAAGCGUGGGGAGCAAACA
rnacentral:rRNA from 1 species